GGGCGUGUAGCGCAGUGGUAGCGCGUCCGCUUUGCAUGUUCAUCAUGGAUGCGGAAGGUCCAGGUUUCGAUCACCUGCUCGUCCA
rnacentral:tRNA from 1 species